AUUGCGACAAGGAGAGUACAUGUCCUGUCUGAACGCAGAUCCACCUCCCACAAUGGCCAAUCCUACCUGACAAGGUCAGUACUUGGGCUGGGUCCUCCCAUCCUCCCACAGGGCACGGAUUCACUCAGCUAGGAUGGCCACGGAGCAACCCAGAAACAAGCCUUUCAUAAAGACUAGUGAAAGAAGCUGGACACAAAACAGUAUUUGCAACUAUGUGAAAACGUGCUGAGGGGAAAGAAUUGUAAACUGUUGGAAGAACAGUUCUCUGUUGAGUUGGUGCCGCCUGCAGGCCUCCCCAAAGCGUCUCUCUUUAUACAAGACUCUGGUUCUUUACUCACCCAGGACUAAAAUUCCUCUAGUCUGGAAGUUGCCCAGGAUGAAUAAACAGAGAGAGAGAAAGCCAUGGAAACAAGAAGCUGAAAGCAACAAAAUUUGG